rnacentral:lncRNA from 1 species
CUUUCUCUUCUUUUCCCCUCACCAAAAUCUUCCUCUCAUCUUAUCCAGUUAAGGCCGCAGCCUUCAGGUCGCUACCACUGUUGUGGGUUGCCAUCCCCAUGAGGUUGCUGUUGUUCCGACGCGUCUACUCGUCAAGGUCGUUGCCGGGUAGUUGUGGCUGCUGGGAAUUGUUGAUGCCAGUGGUACGUCCUAGUUUUCCUUCUCUAUGGUGAUGUCUAGGUAAGACUUAGGGAUUUGGGGCAGCAGCUCAUAGAUUGGAGUUAGAUUUUAGAACUAGAGAUGGAUUCCUGAAACACUUUGCAAAUUCGUUGGUGAGCCCAGUGCUUAUACUUAUUUGGUUUUGCUUCCAGGUCAGACCUCCUCUAUGUUAGUUCCUUUGCUUAGCCAAAUAAGUUAUGGAAGAUAGCCCAUCCAUGAUGUUGUGAGAUGUGAACUGCCUUCUAGCAGAAAAACGAGAGUGUUGGGCAUCUUUGACUGUAAACUGAAUCUGGUUCACUUAAAACCGCACUGACAAAUCUGGACAGCCAGCUUCUAGGUGGAAAUCGAGUUAGUUAUGCUCACAAUUUCGAGUAGGCCUCUACAUAUGAGUUGUAAAGCAUGUUCCAAGGUUUCCGUGGAGUACUUACUUGCUUCAUUUGGAUGUACGGUUUGAGAGCAGUCGUCUAUUUGGUUACUGUCCAGAAACACAGUUUCAUGGGUACAAUAUUUUCAUAUGGAAGAUUAGGCCCUGUUGGAGGUGGACUUAAAAUAAAGUUACAACAUGAAAUUUGUAGAGAAUAUUCUGCAGAUUCUUAAACAUAUAUUAUUUGUUAGAUUCCGUGUUAUACACUAAAUCCUAUGAAAUUAUUAAAAUGAUUGUACCAUGUCGGACAAAAUUUUAUGUUUGGACUUGGGUGAAUGUAAAUAGACUUAUACUCUCAGAUUUUAUCGUCGUUGAUGAUGUGAGGAGUUAUAAUGUGAUAAAGUAUAUAUGAUCUGGGGUCUUGUGUGUAGGAGCGAUGCAAAAUUAUAUAUGCUUAUGUAAUCAGACCAUGCUUUACUGUGGCUGUGAUAUAUGCUUCAUGACAAGUGGGGGUACUUCGGAUUCGGAACUGUUUGCCUCACAAUUUGUGCCCCGCGGUUGAGGCAAGUUCAUGAUGGGAUAAUGACUUGCAUAAUCCCUACACUCUAUUUUAUUUAUGAUAUUUGUCCAUGUUAAUGAUGUUUAUUGUGAUGGAGGUGACGAUGACAAAGACAUGUUGAUUCAAGUACUUUGCUUGCAUUUGCAUAUUUGCAUUCAUGAUGAUAGAGAAAGAAAGAGUACCCUACCUUGGGUAGGCACAUUGAGACCUCCAUUGUUGGGUUGUGUCCUACUUUGGAGGAAACCUCCACGCGCUGGAGUGAGUGGAAGUCGACGGGCGUCCACUCAAGCAAUACCGGUAUACGCAAUGAAAUGAGAUGAGCAUGUAGGCAUGUAGGACACCAAUACAUGCGUUCAGUGUUGUUGAGUGUAUGGUGUUAACAUAGAUUUAGUUCUUUCUUAUGAGUAUUGUUUAUUAUUCCUUUAUGAACCUGUUGAGUCCUUGUACUCACCCUUGUUGCUUACAUGUUUUUAGGUAAACCAUGAAGACACCAUACAUGAGAGUCGUGGGGUAGCAGUAUCACCAUCUUCACUACACGAAUAUCUCAUAUGUUAACUUCUAGCACCGUGCUUUGAGACCUUGUAUGGCUUAUACCUUACUUCACAUGGUGGAUUGUCUUGGAAUUCUAGAUUUACACUUUCGCUCUGUAUGGCUUAACUAAUUUCCACUAAGACUUACAUGAUCGCCUAGAGUUUCAAAGUGGCACCUGGUUAAUGUUGGUAUUGUAGCUUUGCGCUUUAUGCUUGUGUUUGGUUCCUUUUCAUACAUAAUCAUAUGAUCUAUGUGUCAUGGAUGUCCUUAGAUACACAGAAAGCUUUGUCGAAAUUUCCUUUUAGGGCAUGUUUCCUAUCCAAGGUCUUAUGUGGUAAUAUUCCAAGCGCCUUGUCAGCUUGGGGUGUUACAGUUGGUAUCAGAGCAGGCUUUAGGUCCUAGUGUAUCUAUAUAGGAUAAUUGCAUAACUUAGUUAUGAAUUUAGGAUUGAUUAAAAAAUUUACUAUAGGAUGAACAACAUUAGAACUGACACACUGGUGCACAAUAGGAUGGAUUGGGCCAUGCAUUGCAUUAUGCUUAAGUUAAUGUUUUUCUUUAAUUUUGGGAUACUUAUGUCGGCAUAUGAUCAUGACUUUUGCGUUGAUGAUUGACUAUGCUACUUAUAGCUAUGUGCUAUCUCUUGAGCUUGGGUUGGUUUUUCCCUUGAAGACGAAAGGGCGAGGCAGCAAAGUAGUGUAAGUAUUUCCCUUAGUUUUGAGAACUAAGGUAUCAAUCCAGUAGAAGACAACGCGACAAGCCACCAAAUACCAGCACAAACAAACACCAACUUGCAACCAACACGACAAAGGGGUUUUCAAUCCCUUCACGGUUAUUCGCAAAGUGAGAUCUGAUAGAGAUGGAUAAACGGUAAAGUAAUAUUUUUGGUAUUUUUAGUUUGUGGAACGGAAAGUAAAGAUUGCAAAAGAAAGUAAAUAGGAAACUAGAAUUGUAGAUUGGAAACUUAUAUGAUGGAAAAUAGACCCGGGGGCCAUAGGUUUCACUAGAGGCUUCUCUCAAGAAAGGAAUUAUUACGGCCGGUGAACAAAUUACAGCCGAGCAGUUGAUAGAAAAGCGCAAAGUUCUGACGAUAUCUAAGGCAAUGAUGAUGAAUAUAGGCAUCACGUCCGUGUCAAGUAGACCGAAACGAUUCUGCAUCUACUACUAUUACUCCACACAUCGACCGACUCCUGCCUGCAUCUAGAGUAUUAAGUUCAUAAGAAUAGAGUAACGCAUUAAGUAAGAUGACAUGAUGUAGCGGGAUUAACUCAAGCAAUAUGAUGAAAAUACCAUCUUGUUAUCCUCAAUGACAACAAUACUAUACGUGCCUUGCUACCCCUACUGUCACUACGAAAGGACACCGCAAGAUUGAACCCAAAGCUAAGCACUUCUCCCAUCGCAAGGAAAACCAAUCUAGUUGGCCAAACCAAAUCGAUAGUUCGAAGAGACUUUCAAAGAUAUCAAAUCAUGCAUAAAAGAUUUCAGAGGACAUUCAAAUAAUAUUCAAAGAUAAGCUGAUCAUAAAUUCAGAAUUCAUCGGAUCACGGCAAACACGCCGCAAAAGACUAUUACAUAGAAUAGAUCUCCAAGAAUAUUGAGGAGAACAUGGUAUUGAGAAUCAAAGAGAGAGAAAAAGCCAUCUAGCUACUAGCUAUGGACCCGUAGGUCUAUGGUAAACUACUCAUGCUUCAUCGGAGAGGUAAUGGUGUUGAUGUAGAAGCCCUCCGUGACCAAAUCCCCUUCUGGCAGGAUGGGGGAAAAGGCCCCAAAAUUGGAUCUCACGGGUACAGAAGGUCGCGGCAAUGGAAAAAUGGUUUUGUGGCUCUCCUGGAAGUUUUCAGGGUAUAAGAGUAUACAUAGGAGGAAGAUCUAGGUCAGAAGGCCACCGAGGGACCCACAAGGUUGGGGUGCGCGCCCCAACCCCUAGGUGCGCGCUCCACCCUUGUGGCCGCCUCGUGGCUCUUCCGACUUGCACUCAAAGUCUCUUGGGUGUCUUCUGGUCCAAGAAAGAUCAUUGCGAAGCUUUUAUUCCGUUUGGACUCCGUCUAGUAUUCCUUUUACGCGAAACUCUAAAAUAAGGAAAAAACAGAAACUGGCACUAGCAAUGGCCUCUAGGUUAAUAGGUUAGUCCCAAAAAUCAUAUAAAAUAGCAUGUUAAUGCAUAUAAAACAUCCAAAACAGAUAAUAUAAUAGCACGGAACAAUCAAAAAUUAUAGAUACGUUGGAGAUGUAUCCAGCAUCCCCAAGCUUAAUUCCCGCUCGUCCUCGAGUAGGUAAAUGAUAAAAACACAUUUUUUGAUGUGGAAUGCUACCUAACAUAUUUAUCGAUGUAAUUCUAUUUAUUGUGGCAUGAAUGUUCAGAUCUGUAAGAUUCAAAACAAAAGUUUAAUAUUGACAAAAAAAUAAUACUUCAAGCAUACUAACAAAUAAUUAUGUCUUCUCGAAAUAACAUGGCCAAAGAAAGCUUAUCCCUACAAAAUCAUUGAUGACCCACAAGUAUAGGGGAUCUAUCGUAAUCCUUUCGAUAAGUAAGAGUGUCGAACCCAACGAGGAGCAGAAGGACAUGAUAAGUGGUUUCCAGCAAGGUAUUCUCUGCAAGUACUGAAAUAAGUGGUAACAAAUAGUUUUGUGAUAGGAUAAUUUGUAACGAGCAACAAGUAACAAAAGUAAAUAAAGUGCAGCAAGGUGGCCCAAUCCUUUUGUAGCAAAGGACAAGCCUAGACAAACUCUAAUAUGAUGUAAAGCGCUCCCGAGGACACAUGGGAAUAUCGUCAAGCUAGUUUUCAUCACGCUCAUAUGAUUCGCGUCCGGUACUUUGAUAAUUUGGUAUGUGGGUGGACCGGUGCUUGGGUGCUGCCCUUACUUGGAAAAACAUACCACUUAUGAUUAACCUCUAUUGCAAGCAUCCGCAAAUACAACAAAAGUAUUAAGGUAAACCCGCCUUCUGUGCUAGAGAUAAGCCAAACCUAUGUGCUAAUGCUUCCGCUGUUAGGACAUCAGCGCAACAAUCAAUCUUCCAAUUUCCACCUACAAUAAAGUUUCCUUUGUCAUCCCUGAGGACAGCCCCCGCUGUGCCCUUUAGUAGAUCGUGAUUGAAGGCAGCAUCCACAUUCAAUUUAACGACGCCCCUAGGAGGUCAACUCCACCCUCCAAUCUUCCUAUUAGCAUUAGGGGAAUGGGCAUUUACAAAAUUUGUCGUCAUAGCACGAAUUCCCAUCGAGGUUCGACAUACCUCUUGAGACUUUCCCCCGUGAACCAGUUUACGUCUAUUCCACCAUAAAUACCACGCGGUUACAGCAAUCAGCUCUCGUGCGUUCCGUGAAUCCGACAAAGAAAACUCUUGUUGUGGUAUGAGGAAUAAUGAUUCAAGGACUGCCUCCCCUGCAUGAUCAACCGCACAAGCUUUUUUAACCGCUCCAUACAUCCCCAAAUUUUCCCACACUUCUUUUGCCUUCUGACACAGGAACAACACAUGCUUUGUAUCCUCUAGCCCAUUUCAACAUGAUGGGCAAUUGGGCAAAAAAUUUAUGUGUCUAUUGGCUAGGGUAAUAUGACACGGUAGUGUCCCAUGCAAUGUGUGCCAGAUAAAAAAAUCAGCUUCGCCGGACAAGCUAAUUUCCAAAUCUUGCCCCAAAUAGGAUUGACCCUACUUCUACCCAUUCCAUUUGUGUAUUCUAGUUUCUUUCCAUGUUGUUUAUUCCACUCCUCCAGAUAAGCAGAUAGUAUAGUGAACAAACCGUUUUUAGUAUAGCUCCAAGCAAUGAAGUCCUGCAUAUUAUUCAUAGGGAGAGGGAUCGCCAGGACUCUUCAAGCAUCAAUUGGCCAUAGUGUUUGUCUCACCAAAUCUUCAUCCCAACCAUUUGUGGUUGGGUCAAUAAGAUUAGACACUUUCGUCAGAAAUAUCCCUCGUCUAGGAGUAAUAAUUCUCCUAUUCGCACAAUUUGGGAUCCAAGCGUCUGUCCAAAUAUUAAUUUUUUUCUUGGUUCCAACUCUCUAUAUAUAACCAUUUCUGAGAGAGUCAACUCCCGCCGUAAUACUUUUCCAAGUAAAGGAGGAACCCUUUUUAAAUUUUGCGCUCAUCAGAUCACCCUCUGGGUAAUACUUGGCUCUUAGGAUUGUGGCACAUAACGAAUCAGGAUUAUGUAGGAGACGCCACACUUGUUUAGCUAACAAUGCGAGAUUAAAGCAGUGUAUAUCACGAAAUCCCAUCCCUCCUUGAUCUUUGGGAACACAUAUCUUCCACCAUGCCAUCCAAUGCAUCCUUUUAUGGUUGUCGUCGUCGCCCCACCAAAAUUGCGACAUCACGUCAAUGAUUUCUUUACAAUUUUUUCAGGAAUUUUAAAGACGGGCAUGGCAUAAGUUGGGAUAGCUUGAACAACAGAUUUUAGCAAAAUUUCCUUUCCACCGCAGACAACAGUUUUUCUUUCCAUCCACUAAUCUUCAUAAUAAUUUGGUCAAUCAGGAACUGAAAGCAAUCACUUUUGUCCAUCCCCACAUGGGCUGGUAGACCCAAAUAUUUGUCAUUGAGUGCCUCAGUCAUAAUAUUCAGAGUAGUACAAAUUUGCACCUUUUCUUCCACUUUUGUUUUGGGGCUGAAAAAUAUGCUAGACUUUUCAACACUCACCAUUUGACCCUAGGCGACACAAUAAGAUGCAGAACUUCUCUCAAAGCCUUCGCAUUUGUAUCAUUAGCUUGCAUGAGGAUCAAUGAAUCAUCCGCAAAGAGUAAGUUGGAAAUAAAAGGGGCAUCUCUGCUAACUUUUAUGCCGAAAAUACUAGUUGUUUCUUCUGUGUUUGCUAAAAGAGCAGUGAGGCCCUCUGUGCACAACAAAAACAAAUAGGGAGAGAGUGGAUCCCCUUGCCUUAGUCCUCUAGUAGGUUUGAAACUAUCAGUAUCAUCGGCAUUAAACCGUACUCUAUAUUCCACUGAGGAUACACACUGCAUGAUUAAGUUCACCCAAUUCUCUUUAAAACCCAAUUUCAAUAGAACUCCUCUUAAAAAUUAAAAAAAAGACCAUUUCACUCGGUCAUAAGCUUUAUGCAUGUCUAGUUUAAUGGCACACAACCCUUCUUUACCUGCCCUUUUCAUUCUUAUUUUAUGAAAACGCUCAUAUGCUAGUAAAAUAUUAUCUAUGAUCAAUCUCCCAGGAACAAAAGCACUUUGAGUUGGGCUGAUAAUAUCUGAAAGAAUUACCUUUAAUCGUGCAGCAAUCAUUUUUGAAAUAACCUUAUACACCACAUUGCACAAACUGAUUAGUCUAAAUUGAAUAAUCUUUUCUGGAGAAUUAACCUUUGGGAUCAUGACAAUUGUAGUGUAAUUCCAUCCUGCCGGUAUAGAACAUGUAUUCAACGCCUUGAGGACUUCUUCUGUCAGAUAUUCUCCCAACAUCUGCGCAAAAAAAGAUCUUCUCCCAACAUAGACCAAAAUCUCUUAUAAAAGAUAGCAUGCAGACCAUCCGGACCCGGUGCUUUUAAAUCACCAAUAUCAAAUAAGGCCUUCCGAACUUCCUCCGCUGUGUAUGGAGCCGUAAGACCAGUAUUCAUUUCAUUCGUGACUUUCCUUUCUACAAGAGAUAGAACCUCCGGGUUUGGGUGAGAGACUUCUGACAUAAAUAGAUUUGAAAAAUACCCUCUAAUGCAAUCCUUCAUCUCCGACUCUUCCACCCACGCCCCAUUAUCUCCAAGCAAUAUUUUUAUCUGAUUUCUUUUCUUUCUGGAUGUUGCCGCAUUGUGGAAAAAAGAGCUGUUCCGGUCCCCGUGUAAUAGACAAUUUGCACGACCACGCUGAAUCCAGUAAAUCAGCUCUUGUUCCAACAAAUUUUCAAUAAGAAAAAUAAUCUCCUUUUGUCGUGCUUGGGAAUCCACAUUCAUAGGUCCCCUACGUAGCUUUUUCAAUUCUAUUUUAAGUUUACCUAUUCUCUUUUUCGGUCCGUUCAGAGUCUCGUGAUCCCAAUUCUGCAAAUCUGCAUGUACCACUCAUGUACGAUCAGCGAGCGUAGGCCCAAUGCCCAUUUUCUUUGCCUUUUCCCAUGUUGUACGCACAAUCUCAACGGGUGUCUCCUCUCUAAGCCAUCUAGCUUCAAAUUGUUUCACUCGUCCCCUUGGAGGUUUAGAAAUAUUGGCGUCAAAGUAUUCAGCAUCCAAGAUGAUGGGACGAUGAUCGGAAUGAACAUGUUCCUCAUUUAUAACCGCAGCUCGGGGGAAUACAUUCGCCCAUUCCACAUUGCAAACCGCCAUGUCAAGUCUCUCUCUAGUGUCGCCUGUCCUCCAAGUGAAAGGAUCACUAAUACAUCCCAUAUCGUCGAGGCCGCACUCUCCUAAACAAUUACGGAAAUAUCUCAUCAUUGCAUUCGGUUUCGCAUUGCCACCUUCUUUUUCCGACGAGAGUAAAAUUUCAUUAAAAUCUCCUAAAACCACCCACGGGUGCUUGCCCUUACUAUGUAGGUUUCAGAGCUUAUCCCAGGAUAAACUACGCUCACUCCAAACCGGAUGACCAUAAAAGCCCGUGAACCACCAAUGCACGGAAUCAUCAUUUAGAAAAAAGAAUAUCAAUAAAAUUAGGCGACUCAUAGUUCGAAACCACUUUAUUCAUCUUAUGAUAGAACAAAACUAGGCCACGGGCCCGACCAUCACUCCCCACUACAAUAAUUGAAUCAAAAGAUAAAGAAUGACAUAGCUCAUCGGCUUUACAUUUAUUGAAGUGCGACUUAGAGAGAAAAAUCAAAUCCGCCAUGAUACUCCCUGAUACGUCUCCAACGUAUCUAUAAUUUUUUAUUGUUCCAUGCUAUUAUAUUAUCAACCUUGGAUGUUUCAUAUGCAUUUAUAUGCUAUUUUAUCUGAUUUUUUGGGACUAACCUAUUAAGCUAGAGCGAGUGCCAGUUUCUAUUUUUUCCUUGUUUUUGAGUAUCACAGAAAAGGAAAACCAAACGGAGUCCAAUUGACCUGAAACUUCACAGAACUUAUUUUUGGACCAGAAGAAGGCCAUGGAGUAAAAGAGUUGGGCCAGAAGAGUUUCGGGCUGCCCACGAGGGUGGGGGCGCGCCCACCCCCUGGGCGUGCCUCCCUACCUCGUGGAUAGCCCGAAGACCCCCCCUGACUUGUUCUUCACGCAAAACCUCUUAUAUGUACUAAAACCUCCAGAACAUAACCUAGAUCGGGAGUUCCGCCGCCAGAAGCCUCCGUAGCCACCGAAAACCAAUCUAGACCCGUUUCGGCAUCCUGCCGGAGGGGGGAAUCCCUCUCCAGUGGCCAUCUUAAUCAUCCCGGCACUCUCCAUGACGAGGAGGGAGUAGUUCACCCUGGGGGCUGAGGGUAUGUACCAGUAGCUAUGUGUUUGAUCCCUCUCUCUCAUGUUCUUGAUUCGGAACAAUCUUGUUGUAUCGCGAGAUUUUCUAUUAUAGUUGGAUCUUAUGAUGUUUCUCCCCCUCUACUCUCUUGUGAUAAAUUGAGUUUUCCCUUUGAAGUUAUCUUAUCGAAUUGAGUCUUGAAGGAUUUGAGAACACUUGAUGUAUGUCUUGCAUGUGCUUCUCUGUGGUGACAAUGGGAUAUCACGUGAUUCACUUGAUGUAUGUUUUGGUGAUCAACUUGCGAGUUCCAUGACCUCGUGAACUUAUGCAUAGGGGUUGGCACACAUUUUCGUCUUGACUCUCUGGUAGAAAAUUUAGGGCACUCUUUGAAGUUCUUUGUGUUGGUUGAAUAGAUGAAUCUGAGAUUGUGUGAUGGAUAUCGUAUAAUCAUAUCCAUGGAUACUUGAGGUGACAUUGUAGUAUCUAGGUGACAUUAGGGUUUUGGUUGAUUUGUGUCUUAAGGUGUUAUUCUAAUACGAACUCUAGGAUAGAUUGAAUGGAAAGAAUAGCUUCGUGUUAUUUUACUACGGACUCUUGAAUAGAUUGAUCAGAAAGAAUAACUUUGAGGUGGUUUCAUACCCUACAAUAAUCUCUUCGUUUGUUCUCUGCUAUUAGUGACUUUGGAGUGACUCUUUGUUGCAUGUUGAGGGAUACUUAUAUGAUCCAACUAUGUUAUUAUUGUUGAGAUAACUUGCACUAGUGAAAGUAUGAACCCUAGGCCUUGUUUCAACGCAUUGCAAUACCGUUUUCGCUCACUUUUAUCAUUAGUUACCUUGUUGUUUUUAUAUUUUCAGAUUACAAAAACCUAUAUCUACCAUCCAUAUUGCACUUGUUGUUGGAAAUAUGCCCUAGAGGCAAUAAUAAAAUGGUUAUUAUUGUAUUUCCUUGUUCAUGAUAAUUGUCUAUUGUUCAUGCUAUAAUUGUAUUAACCGGAAACAGUAAUACAUGUGUGAAUACAUAGACCACAACAUGUCCCUAGUAAGCCUCUAGUUGACUAGCUCGUUGAUCAAUAGAUGGUCAUGGUUUCCUGACCAUGGACAUUGGAUGUCAUGUAUAACGAGAUCACAUCAUUAGGAUAAUGAUGUGAUGGACAAGACCCAAUCCUAAGCCUAGCACAAGAUCGUAUAGUUCGUCUGCUAAAGCUUUUCUAAUGUCAAGUAUCAUUUCCUUAGACCAUGAUAUUGUGCAACUCCCGGAUACCGUAGGAAUGCUUUGGGUGUACCAAACGCCACAAUGUAACCAGGUGGCUAUAAAGGUGCACUACGGGUAUCUCCGAAAGUGUUAGUUGGGUUGGCACAAAUCGAGACUGGGAUUUGUCACUCCGCGUAAAAGGAGAGGUAUCUUUGGGCCCACUAGGUAGGACAUCAUCAUAAUGUGCACAAUGUGACCAAGGAGUUGAUCAUGGGAUGAUGUGUUACGGAACGAGUAAAGAGACUUGCCGGUAACGAGAUUGAACAAGGUAUCGGGAUACCGACGAUCGAAUCUUGGGCAAGUACUAUACCGGUAGACAAAGGGAAUUGUAUACGGGAUUGACUGAAUCCUUGACAUCAUGGUUCAUCCGAUGAGAUCAUCGUGGAACAUGUGGGAGCCAACAUGGGUAUCCAGAUCCCGCUGUUGGUUAUUGACCAGAGAGAUGUCUCGGUCAUGUCUGCAUUAUUCCCGAGCCCGUAGGGUCUACACACUUAAGGUUCGAUGACUCUAGGGUUAUAGGGAAAGUAUGUACGCGGUUACUGAAUGUUGUUUGGAGUCCCGGAUGAUAUCCCGGACGUCACGAGGAGUUCCAGAAUGGUCCGGAGGUGAAGAUUGAUAUAUUGGACGAAGGGUUUUGGAGUCCGGAAGUGUUCCGGAGGUACCGGGUGAUGACCAGCAUGACCGAAAGGUGUUUCGGGAGCCCCGACAAGUGUUGGGGGGCUUCAUGGGCCAAGGCAAGGGGGCAAACCAGCCCACUAAGGGGCUGUGCGCCCCCCUCACCUAUUCCCACGUGACCAGGGGGUUUGGGGCGCCCCAUCUAGGGUUCCCACCUCCUGGCUUGGGGGCCAAGUCACCGAAGGGGGAGAUCCCAUCUGCCCUGGCCGCCGCCCCCCCUCCCUAGGGGAAACCCUAGGGCACCUCCCCUUGCCCUUGCCCCUAUAUAUAGUGGAGGUUUUGGGGCUGCAUAACACACUAGUCUCUCUCUCCCAAGGCGCAACCCUACCUCUCUCCCUCCUCGUCUCUCGUAGUGCUUGGCGAAGCCCUGCUGGAGUACCGCGCUCCUCCACCACCACCACGUCAUCGUGAUGUUGCUGAACGGAGUCUUCCCCAACCUCUCCCUCUCUCCUUGCUGGAUCAAGGCAUGGGAGACGUCACCGGGCUGCACGUGUGUUGAACACGGAGGCGCCGUUGUUCGGCGCUUAGUUCGGAAUAGACCGCGAUAUGAAUCGCUACGAGUACGACUACCUCAUCCGUGUUCUAGUAAUGCUUCCGCUUAGAGAUCUACAAGGGUAUGUAGAUGCACUCCCCUUCCCCUCGUUGCUAGAUUACUCCAUAGAUUGAUCUUGGCGAUGCGUAGAAAAUUUUAAAUUUCUGCUACGACCCCCAACAUGUAUGACUUAUUUUAUUUGUAGAGUUGUGUUGUGAUAUCUUCCCGCGAGUCCCUGAUCUCGAUCGUACACGUUUGCGUGUAUGAUUAGUGUACGAUUGAAUCAGGGGCGUCACAAGUUGGUAUUAGAGCCGACUGCCUGUAGGAAUCCCCCUUCCACACUCCUUGGCCGAAGUCGAGUCUAGACAUUGCAAAACUUUUACUAACAUGGCAGUGUGUCUUAUGGGCUCAUGUCACCAUUGGGUGUUAUUAGGAUCUUUUACUCCUCGAUCUUUACUCCGGGAUUCUGAUCUCUCUUCUAUUCGGGUUAAAAGAUUUUGCUAACUCUAACUCUAUGUUCUUGUAAAUACUUUCUCUCGGAGAACCCCUCACUCCAGAUGGUCGCCUGUUGCACCAGAAGAUUCCGAAGAUACUCUUUGAUGUUAUCCUGAGAACUUGUGCUCAUUGCAUUUGCAAUUCCCUUCCACCGUCAAUCCCUAUAGAUAACUACAUGCCCUUGCCAUUCUUACAUUAGUCCCUAGUUGCUCUUGUUAUUACAAGAUACCCCGAGAUGCUCAUUGUUGUUCCGAGAAUCCUUGUGCCUACUGCCUUGCAGUUUCUUGUCACCUGAAUACUCCUACAAAUUAAUCCUCACACACACACCAAGGAUUUGUUUCUCCUUAGUUCAUGUGUUUCACCAAAGUCUUCGAAAUACUAUUUGAUCUUUUGAAAAUCCUCAACAGCCUAUUGGUCUUGAAAUUCUUGCUUGCUUGCAUUCUGGUUAAUCCAUAAGUAUAGUAAUCUUAUUGGCAUCCUUUGUCACUAUCAUUUUUGAGUCCAUUCAUUCAAUACGUUGCGAAUGCUCACAAUCAUCAGUCGAAUCCUAGGAUUAUCCUUCCGGCUAAGAUGUCAUUUGGGUAUGAGCUGGUUCAUGACCAAUCAAUGCCUUGAUCGGUUGUGCUUCCAAGUCUAUUGAACUUAUUCAUUUUCGAUCACGAAUUAUUUGCUUAUAAUCCCUUGAUUUGGAAAUCAUAAAUUUCGUUGCUUGUAGCUUUGAAUUAGUCAGUUGUUUCUAUAAUCAUAUCUCUAUGCAUUCUUCUUCCUUUGGUUGAGUACCGAUGCUCACCUCAGAUCCCUUGAGGACCAUCAGAUCCUUUGUUGGAUUUUCUCCAACAGUGUCCUUCAUAUUCCAUAACGUUGCGAGUCUUUCCGCGGAUAUAUGAUGCCUUUGGUAAAUUGUAUCCUCUGCUUCUCAACCAUGCUUUGCUUUCGAGCUGGUGGUAUUUACUAUUGAAGCUUGUGGUAUAUGUUUCCACGACACCCUGACGGGUAGAACCUAUGCUUUCCUUAAUAUGUGUGAAAUCAAAAGUUUUCACGAGUCAUACUCUUCUGGUAUUUUGCUAGAUGAAAUUUCAACACUACAACUUAUUCGAAAGUGAGAGGUGAAUGGAAGGUUAUACAUUGAAGAAGUGGUAGUCGACCUAUCAUUAAAGCUUCUCUUAAAUUAAUUAUUCCCUUGGUAUAAGUUCAUCUUAUAUUUAGGAUCCGACCUUUUGCAAUCGUGGUUUCGACCAUGUUCUCCUUUAAAUACCAUUUUUUGUGCAAGUUUAAGCACUUGUCUUUUGCAGAGCAAUACCCUAGUCGAACCUCUACUUUGAUCUAUCGUCGAGUAUUACCCCCUGGUAUCUCAAGAUUGUCAUGGAACCGCAUACCUUCUUAUGAGCUCUUCAUUAAGUACUACAUUCUGACAGUUUCCAAUUUUUCACGGGCUCUGAGUUAUUAAACUCUCAAAGACACUGAUAACUAUACCGAGUCCGCACUAUGGUUCAACAACUCUUAGUAAUCUUCUUUAUGCAUGAGUGUGUACUCGAUCACACUGUUCCUAGUCUGUUUGGCUAUAUCAUUGUCUUGAUGAUUUUAACCAUGCUACUUGGUCCUUAUUCCAGGGGCACCACUUUCGACGACGAGCUAAGCUUACGGUUUGGAGUCAAAGGAAAGUUAGUGCCACGAUUUGUGGGUCCAUACAGAGUCUUGGAACGUAUGGGUGAAGUUGUUUACAACUUGGAUUUACCUGAAGGUUUGUCAGGAGUUCAUGAUGUGUUUCACGUUUUUGCAAUUGAAGAAGUGACAUGCAGAGAUAGCUGAUAUUCCUCUGAGAGAUACGGUGCCCCUGGAAGCAAUUCAGUUGGAGAGUAACCUAAUUUAUGAGGAGAAACCCGUCAGGAUUCUAGAUUUCACCAACUGAGUCACUUGCAGUAAGGUCAUCAAGUUUUGCAAAGUUUAGUGGAGUCACCAUACCGAGGAGGAAGCCACUUGGGAACAAGAAGAAGACCUCCGAAAGGACCACCCACACCUUUUUGCUAGCCAACCCGACUCUCGACGGCGCUAUUCAUCUUAAGGGGGGUAGGUUUGUAACAUCCCAAAUUUCCAUUUGGAUGUUAUUUAGAUCAAUCAUAUGCACUCAUCAUUUGUGCAUAUUGGAAUUUGCUUUAUUUGAAAUUUUGAUCCAAGGGGUCUUAAACGACUCGAGGACAAAUAGAGAGAGUUGGAGGUUUCCCAAAACUCAUUUCUUUUUGAAUUUUUAAAACUUGGAAAUUUGGAUCAAAUUGAUUUACUCAAAAUUCUUUUCUAAUUAUUUGAAAUAAAUAAAAUAAAGAGAGAAGAUAAAAGGACUUCUUCAAAAACAACAAAGAAAUAUUGGAAAAUUAAAUUUUGAAUAAAAAUAUAUUUUAUUUGAUUUUAUUUGCAAGUUUAUUUAUUUUUAUUAGUACUAAAAAUAUUAUUUUUAUUUUAGGCAUCUAGGUCCAGACAAAUCUUCACCUAAGCCUAUUUAAUUAGGAGGGACUAUGUGAACUUUUCUGCAAUUUUUAAAAAUAUGUUUAUUAUGCUUUUUGUAUUUUUCGUAUCUCUGGAAAAAGGUUUUAAAAAAACUUUUGGACAGAACUGGGCAGAAGCCCAGCCAGCCCAGACGCCGCACCGCCUUCCUCCCGUGCGUGGCCUGGACUCGCCGGAGUCCGCCGGGCCAACGGCGCCGGCCGCCACUUCUCCAAGUCGGAGCACCCGCCACCUAUUUAAUGCAUCGUCCCCGGCCCUCGCUUUCCUCCUCCUCAGCCCGUAGCCGCCCCGCCUCCCAUCGCAGCGCCGAGCCAUCGCCAUCGCCGCACCGAGCCGCGCCACCACUACCGCGCACCGCAGCCGCUCCACCCGCCGCCCGAUCCGCCGCUGGAUCCCCGAGCCGCCGCCGGACUCACCGUCGCCCGAGCCCAGAUCCGCUCGACCCGACCCACCGGUUUUCUCGGUCAGGGAAUAAACCGACCCGGUCCGAUCCGGUUUUUUAGUUUUCGGUUUUUCUUUUAAGACCCGGUUUAUUAUUUUUAGUUUAGUUAUUUAGCAAAUGUUUGUUCGUUAAUGUUCUAUACUUUAAAGAUUCAUCAGAUUAGUGUUCGUAGCGGACGUUCGUCUGAUAGAUUUUUCUUUUUCUGUUUUAUUUUUCGGCCAGGGACCCAUCCAUGAAUAUUUUCUUCAUAGAUUAGCCCCUAAUCUUUAAAUCAUCACAACUUUUUACUCGUUUGUCCAAAUUCAACGAAACCAAUGCCAAAUUCUUCGUUAUGAUUCUAUCUAGAUAACCAACUUAACAAUAUUUUUGGAAGUUCAAAAUAUUAUUUCAAACAGAUUUGAGUUUGAACUUCUUCUGAUCAUAACUUGAGUUUCGUAAUUCUGAUUUGGUUGAUUCUUUUUGCAAAUCGAAGCUCUUGACCUAAACUUUCUGUUAAGAUCUAAUACACAUAACUUAAGUACUGUUAGAAAUUGUUUUCUAUUUGAAAGAGUUAUUUUCUUAUUCUUUUGACCUUUCUGAAUCCUUUUCUUUGGUUUUCUUUGCAUCUUCAUGCUUGAGUGCUUAUGUAUGCUAUUGUUUUUCUAUGAUAGAAAUUGUUAUCUAUUCGCUAGAUGGAUUCUUCUCUCUCUUUGAUCUUCAAUACAAUGUUCUCCUCCAUUUCUUGGAGUUCUAUUCGAUGUAAUCUUCUUUUGCGGUGCGUUUUGUUGAUAUUCGAUGAAUUUUGGAUUUUUAUCAGAUUAUCUAUGAUUAUUAUUUGAGUCUUCUCUCAACUCUUUUAUGCAUGAUUAAAAUAGCUUUGUAUUUCUCUCCAAUCUAUUGAUUUGGUUUGGCCAACUAUAUUGAUCUAUCUUGCAAUGGGAGAGGUGCUUUGUGAUGGGUUCAAUCUUGCAGUGUCCUCACUAGUGGCAGCAGGGGUAGCAAGACACGUAUUUGUAUUGUUGCCAUUAAGGAUGAAAAUAUGGGGGUUUUACCAUAUUUAUUGGAUCUAUCCCUCUACAUCAUGUCAUCUUGGUUAAGGCGUUACUCCAUACUUGUUAACUUAAUAGACUAGAUGCAUGCUGGAUAGCAGUUGAUGUGUGGAGUAGUAGUGGUAGAUGUAGGCAGGAGUCGGUCCACUUGUCACGGACAUGAUGCCUAUAUUCAUGAUCAUUGCCUUAGAUACCAUCAUAACUUUGCGCUUUUCUAUCAAUUACUCAACAGUAAUUUGUUUACCCACCAUAUGCUUUCUUCAAGAGAGAAGCCUCUAGUGAAAAAUAUGGCCCACAGGUGUAAUGCCCCGUUUUCAUUUGCUAUGCAUUUGUUCCUGAAGAAUGUUUAAAUAAAAGAAUAAGACAGAGUUAGUAAUUAUUAAAGUGAUGUAAGAAUAGGAAAAGGAAAAAAGAGACACACACACACGAAGAGAGAGAAAGAGAGAGUGCAUGUGAAAUAAAAUCAGCGUGGCAAAAAGAAAAUAAAAGAGAGGGUGUGUAUGCUAGUGUUUGAACCAUGGUCCUCUAGAUAUAUGAAGAAUUUAGAAACCAAUUUCUCUAGGUGCUACUUCUGGUACUAUACCAGGAAACAUAUUAGUUAGCUCCUCUAAAACAAGAGGAAAGAAAUUCUACAUGGGUCCAAGGCCCGGUCGAGCUCGGCCUGAUGGUCAGUCCCACACUGCGCCGCUAUAACCUGCGCCCAAAUCGCCUUUCUCUUCUUUUCCCCUCACCAAAAUAUUCCUCUCGUCUUAUCCAGUUAAGGCCGCAGCCUUCAGGUCGCUACCACUGCUGUGGGUUGCCAUCCCCAUGAGGUUGCUGUUGUUCCGACGCCUCUACUCGUCGAGGCCGUUGCCGGGCAGUUGUGGCUGCUAGGAAUUGUUGAUGCCAGUGGUACGUCCUAGUUUUCCUUCUCUAUGGUGAUGGCUAGGUAAGACUUAGGGAUUUGGGGCAGCAUCUCAUAGAUUGGAAUUAGAUAUGAGAACUGGAGAUGGAUUCCUGAAACACUUUGCAAAUUCGUUGGUGAGCCCAGUGCUUAUAAUUAUUUGGUUUUGCUUCCAGGUCAGACCUCCUCUAUGUUAGUUCCUUUGCUUAGCCAAAUAAGUUAGGGAAGAUAGCCCAUCCAUGAUGUUGUGAGAUGUGGACUGCCUUCUAGCAGAAAAACUAGAGUGUUGGGCAUCUCUGACUGUAAACUGAAUCUGGUUCAGUUAAAACCGCACUGACAAAUCUAGAUAGCCAGUUUCUAGGUGGAAAUUGAGUUAGUUAUGCUCACAAUUUCGAGUUGGCCUCUACAUAUCAGUUGCAAAGCAUGUUCCAAGGUUUCCGUGGAGUACUUACUUGCUUCAUUUGGAUGUACGGUUUGAGAGCAAUCGUCUAUUUGGUUACUGUCCAGAAACACAGUUUCGUGGGUACAGUAUUUUCAUAUGGAAGAUUAGGCCCUGUUGGAGGUGGAAUUAAAAUAAAGUUACAACAUAAAAUUUGUAGAGGAUAUUCUGCAGAUUCUUAAACAUAUAUUAUUUGUUAGAUUCCGUGUUAUACACUAAAUCCUAUGAAAUUAUUAAAAUGACUGUACUAUGACAGACAAAAUUUUAUGUUUGGACUUGGGUGAAUGUAAAUAGACUUAUACUCUCACAUUUUGUCGCCGUUGAUGAUGUGAGGAGUUAUAAUGUGAUAAAGUAUAUAUGAUCUAGGGUCUUGUGUGUAGGAGCGAUGCAAAAUUAUAUAUGCUUAUGUAAUCAGACCAUGCUUUAUUGUGACUGUGAUAUAUGCUUCAUGAUAGGUGGGGGUAUUUUGGAUUCGAACUGGUUGCCUCACAAUUUGUGCCCCGCGGUUGAGGCAAGUUCAUGAUGGGAUAACGACUUGCAUAAUCCCUACACUCUAUUUUAUUUAUGAUAUUUGUCCAUGUGAAUGAUGUUUAUUGUGAUGGAGGUGACGAUGACAAAGACAUGUUGAUUCAAGUACUUUGCUUGCAUUUGCAUAUUUGCAUUCAUGAUGAUAGAGAAAGAAAGAGUACCCUACCUUGGGUAGGCACAUUGAGCAUCCAUUGUUGGGUUGUGACCAGCUUUGGAGGCAACCUCCACGCGCUGGAGUGAGCGGAUGUCGAUGGGCGUCCACUCAAGCAAUACCGGUAUACGCAAUGAAAUGAGAUGAGCAUGUAGGCAUGUAGGACACCAAUACAUGUGUUCAGUGUUGUUGAGUGUAUGUUGUUAACAUAGAUUUAGUGCUUUCUUAUGAGUAUUGUUUAGUAUUCCUUUAUGAACUUGUUGAGUCCUUGUACUCACCCUUGUUGCUUACAUGUUUUUAGGUAAACCAUGAAGAAAACAUGCAUGAGAGUCGUGGGGUAGCAGUAUCACCAUCUUCACUACAGGAAUAUCUCAUAUGUUAACUUCUGGCACCGUGUUUUGAGAGCUUGUAUGGCUUAUACCUUACUUCACAUGGUGGAUUGUCUUGGAAUUCGAGAUUUACGCUUUCGUUCUGUAUGGCUUAACUAAUUUCCACUAAGACGUACAUGAUCGCCUAGAGUUUUGAAGUGGCACUUGGUUAAUGUUGGUAUUGUAGCUUUGCGCUUUAUGCUUGUGUUUGGUUCCUUUUCAUACAUAAUCAUAUGAUUUGUGUGUCAUGGAUGUCCUUAGAUACAGAGAAAGC